rnacentral:lncRNA from 10 species
AGCAGAGAUCGUGCCAUUGCACUCCAGCCUGGGCAACAGUGCCAGACUCCAUCUGAAAAAGAAAAAAAAAAGAAAAUCGUAUUUACUAUAGCAUUAAAUAAUAAAUGUCUGGCCAGGCCUGGUGGCUCAUGCCUGUAAUGUCAAGGUGGGCGGAUCACAAGGUCAGGUGAUCGAGACCAUCUUGGCCGUGGUGAAACCCCAUCUCAACUAAAAUAUAAAAAAUUAGCUGGGCAUGGUGGUGCAUGUCUGUAGUUUCAGCUAAUUAGGACUGAGGCAGGAGAAUCGCUAGAACCCAGGGAGGUGGAGGUUUCAGUGAACUGAGAUCAUGCCACUGCACUCCAGCCUGGAGAAAGAGCAAGACACUUUCUCAAAAAAUAAAUACAUAAAUCUCUGAGA